rnacentral:rRNA from 1 species
GACAGAGGAGCCAAGCGUUGUCCGGAAUAACUGGGCGUAAAGCGCACGCAGGCGGUGCGGUGCGUGGGGUGUGAAAACUGGCGGCUUAACUGCCAGAGGCCACCUCAUACGGCCGCACUCGAGCUCUGCAGAGGUCCAUGGAAUUGCCGGUGUAGUGGUGAAAUGCGUAGAUAUCAGGAGGAACACCGGUGGCGAAGGCGGCUCUCUGGACGGUGACUGACGCUGAGACGCGAAAGCGUGGGGAGCAAACAGG